rnacentral:rRNA from 1 species
UGUCUCCCCCCCCCAAUCAGUGAAACUGAUCUCUCCGUGAAGAAGCGGAGAUAUUUACAUAAGACGAGAAGACCCCAUGGAGCUUUAAACCCGAUAACACCCACUUACUUUAUACCCUUACACACUUUUGGCCUCUGCUUACUCGGUUUUAGGUUGGGGUGACCACGGAGUAUAAAACAACCUCCAUGAAGAAAGGAAAAAUUAACCUCAUCAGAGAAUGACACUUCCAAGAACUAACAAAUUAAUUUUUAAUGAUCCGACAUUCGAUCAACGAACCAAGUUACCCUGGGGAUAACAGCGCAAUCUACCUCAAGAGCCCCUAUCGACAGGUGGGUUUA